AUCAGGAAAAAAACGAAAAAACAAAAUCGGAGGAGCCUGCCGGAGAUGUGGCCAUUACGGCUCGCCUUCAGAUGUCCUCCUCGAGAUAGGGUCAUUUAAAGAACGAGGGUCAGCAUGACGUAAAAAAAAUUGGG